rnacentral:rRNA from 1 species
UAAAACGUAGGUGGCAAGCGUUAUCCGGAUUCACUGGGCGUAAAGCGCAUGCAGGUGGCACUGUAAGUAGGGCAUGAAAACUCCUGGCUUAACUGGGAGACGCUGUUCUAAACUGCAGAGCUUGAGGCUGAGAGAGGGAAGUGGAAUUGCCGGUGUAGUGGUGAAAUGCGUAGAGAUCGGCAGGAACACCCGUGGCGAAAGCGGCUUCCUGGCUCAGUCCUGACACUCAGAUGCGAAAGCUAGGGGAGCGAACGGGAUUAGAAACCCCGGUAGUCCUAGCCGUAAACGAUGUUCACUAGGUGUCGGGGGUAUUGACCCCCUCGGUGCCGAAGCCAACGCGUUAAGUGAACCGCCUGGGGACUACGGCCGCAAGGUUA